rnacentral:rRNA from 1 species
CCCCUAGAUGUUCUGGGCCGCACGCGCGCUACACUGAACAGUUCAACAAGUCUUAACCUUGGCCGAUAGGUCUGGGUAAUCUUUGAACGCUGUUCGUGAUUGGGAUAGACCUUGGCAAUUAUGGGUCUUCAACGAGGAAUUCCUAGUAAACGCAAGUCAUCAGCUUGCAUUGAUUACGUCCCUGCCCUUUGUACACACCGCCCGUCGCACCUACCGAUUGAAUGGUCCGGUGAAAUCUCGGGACGGCGGCUUGGUCGCUUGCGUCCGACUGCUGAAACUUGAUUAAACCAUAUCAUUUAGAGGAAGGUGAAGUCGUAACA